rnacentral:rRNA from 1 species
GACGAACGCUGGCGGCGUGCCUAACACAUGCAAGUCGAACGGGACCGGGGGCAACUUCGGUUCAGUGGCGGACGGGUGCGUAACACGUGAGGAACAUGACCUUCGGCGGGGGAUAGCCGGCCCAACGGCCGGGUAAUACCGCGUACGACCUUUCGGGGACAUCCCUGGAUGGUGAAAGCAGCAAUGCGCCGAUGGAGUGCCUCGCGGCCUAUCAGCUAGUUGGUGGGGUAACGGCUCACCAAGGCAACGACGGGUAGCUGGUCUGAGAGGAUGGCCAGCCACAUUGGGACUGAGACACGGCCCAGACUCCUACGGGAGGCAGCAGUGGGGAAUAUUGCGCAAUGGACGAAAGUCUGACGCAGCGACGCCGCGUGUGGGAUGACGGUC